GAUGAAGAACGUAGCGAAAUGCGAUAAGUAGUGUGAAUUGCAGAAUUCAGUGUAUCAUCGAAUCUUUGAACGCACAUUGCGCCCCUUGGUAUUCCAUGGGGCAUGCCUGUUCGAGCGUCAUUUGUACCCUCAAGCUUUGCUUGGUGAUGGGUGUUUGUUCCGCUGCAACGCGUGAACUCGCCUCAAAUCAAUUGGCAGCCGGCAGUCUGGUGUUUGAGCGCAGCACAUUUUGCGCUCUUCGCUGUGUAUUGCGGGCGUCCAUGAAGCCUAUAUUUUCGCGCUUGACCUCGGAUCAGGUAGGGAUACCCGCUGAACUUAAGCAUAUCAAUAAGCGGAGGA
rnacentral:misc_RNA from 1 species